GUGGGGAAUCUUAGACAAUGGGGGAAACCCUGAUCUAGCCAUGCCGCGUGAGCGAUGAAGGCCUUAGGGUUGUAAAGCUCUUUCAGCUGGGAAGAUAAUGACGGUACCAGCAGAAGAAGCCCCGGCUAACUCCGUGCCAGCAGCCGCGGUAAUACGGAGGGGGCUAGCGUUGUUCGGAAUUACUGGGCGUAAAGCGCGCGUAGGCGGACCAGAAAGUUGGAGGUGAAAUCCCAGGGCUCAACCUUGGAACUGCCUUCAAAACUCCUGGUCUGGAGGUCGAGAGAGGUGAGUGGAAUUCCGAGUGUAGAGGUGAAAUUCGUAGAUAUUCGGAGGAACACCAGUGGCGAAGGCGGCUCACUGGCUCGAUACUGACGCUGAGGUGCGAAAGCGUGGGGAGCAAACAGGAUUAGAUACCCCAGUAGUCC
rnacentral:rRNA from 1 species